UACGGGGGGAGCAAGCGUUGUUCGGAUUUACUGGGCGUAAAGGGCGCGUAGGCGGUCAUGACAAGUCACUUGUGAAAUCUCCGGGCUUAACUCGGAACGGUCAAGUGAUACUGUCAGACUAGAGUGCAGAAGGGGCAACUGGAAUUCUCGGUGUAGCGGUGAAAUGCGUAGAUAUCGAGAGGAACACCUGCGGCGAAGGCGGGUUGCUGGGCUGACACUGACGCUGAGGCGCGAAAGCCAGGGGAGCAAACGGG
rnacentral:rRNA from 1 species